ACCGGGAGCCGAUAAAGGCGCGGCUGCGGCUCUUGUCGCUGUCCCCGCGGAGAGCGGUCCGCUGCGCCAUGGAGCUCCCGUGGCUGGGCCAGCACUGCUCCGAGCGCACCUGCAAGCAGCUGGAUUUCCUUCCUCUGAAAUGCGAUGCAUGUGGGGAAGUCUUCUGUAAAGAUCACAUCCGUUAUGAUGACCACAAGUGCAGCUCUGCCUACAAGAAAAAUGUGCAGGUCCCAGUGUGUCCCCUCUGUCACACACCUAUCCCGGUGCAGAAGGGAGAAAUCCCAGAUAUUGUGGUUGGAGCCCACAUAGAUAAGGACUGCAAAUACAAUCCAGCCCAGCAAAAGCAGAAGAUCUUCACAAACAAAUGCGUAAAGCCAGGCUGCAGAAGGAAAGAGAUGAUGAAGUUGGUUUGUGAGCAAUGUGGUGGCAGCUUCUGCAUAAAGCAUCGGCAUCCUCUGGAUCACGACUGCAAAGGGAGCAGCAAGCCCAUCUCCAAGGCAGGAUAUGCAGCUCUGAUGAGAGAAUCUCAUCCCACCUUGAAGUUCCCGGGAGCAACUGGAGUGCCAUCUAAUGGGAAUCGUCAGCACAACAGAACAGCAUUUUAGAAUGCCGAAAAUGAUUGUGGAAAAAAAAGAAAAGAAGGGAGAAAAAAGAAAAAAGCUGAAGCAACAUGUGGCCCAAAAGGACAAGCUGGAAUUGGAAACUGAACCAAAGAAGAAGCAAAAGCUGCAGUGAAAAUUUUAUUCUGGUUCUAUAUUGAUGACUUCUUACUUCUCAUGGAGAGAAAUGUCAUCAACGAAAAUUGCUGGAAAAGGCGCAAACUGUUGAACUGAGAAAACUUGGCACAAAACCUCAAAAUACAUGUAACUUCAGUUAAAAAGAAGUCCCAUUAACAUGUCUGAACUUGCAGAAUGCAUUCAUUUGGCAAGAAACUAACUUGUAAGCUUGACAGGAUGUUUGCUGCAUUCUGGUACAGGAUAAAGAGCAGAGAAAUGGGCAUUCAAAGGCAAUUAUUCUUGACAGGGCUUGAAACUUGUGUAUAUGUGUAUACUGUGUGUAUAGAUGUGUAUAUGUAUGUGUGUAUAUGUAUGUGUAUAUGUGUAUAGAAUUAUUUAUUAAUGCAGGCCUGAUUUUUGUGGAUUUGUUACUUCCUCUUUAUUGCUCUUGCUACUCUUUUGUUAAUGUUACUUGGUUCAAAAAACUGAAAAUGGCAUGGAUUUGGAUAUUUAAAUUAUGCUUUUUCUAAAACGUAGCCCUGUCCUUGAUGAAAUGCUGCUGCUUGUUUAAACAAUAUGGGAAUCUGGUAUAAUGAUUUUUAUAAAAUACGA